CCAAUAGCGUAUAUUAAAGUUGUUGCAGUUAAAAAGCUCGUAGUUGAAUUUUAGGCCUGGCCGGGCGGUCCGUCUUUGGCGAGUACUGUUCUGUGUCGGGUCUUACCUUCUGGUGAACCGGAAUGUUCUUAAUUGAGUGUACCGGGGAGCCAGGACCAUUACCUUGAAAAAAUUAGAGUGUUUAAAGCAGGCAUUUGCUUGAAUAGAUUAGCAUGGAAUAAUAGAAUAGGACGUUGGUUCUAUUUUGUUGGUCUAGGACCACCGUAAUGAUUAAUAGGGAUAGUUGGGGGCAUUAGUAUUCAAUUGUCAGAGGUGAAAUUCUUGGAUUUAUUGAAGACUAACUAUUGCGAAAGCAUUUGCCAAGGAUGUUUUCAUUAAUCAAGAACGAAAGUUAGGGGAUCGAAGACGAUCAGAUACCGUCGUAGUCUUAACCAUAAACUAUGCCGACUAGGAAUCGGGCGACGUUAUUUUUAUGACUCGCUCGGCGCCUUAUGGGAAACCAAAGUGUUUGGNUUC
rnacentral:rRNA from 1 species